UACGUAGGGGGCGAGCGUUGUCCGGAUUUAUUGGGCGUAAAGAGCGUGUAGGCGGCCAGGUAGGUCCGGUGUGAAAACUCGAGGCUUAACCUCGAGAUGUCAUCGGAAACCAUCUGGCUAGAGUCCGGAAGAGGAAAGUGGAAUUCCUGGUGUAGCGGUGAAAUGCGCAGAUAUCAGGAAGAACACCAAUGGCGAAAGCAGCUUUCUGGGACGGUACUGACGCUGAGACGCGAAAGCGUGGGGAGCGAACAGG
rnacentral:rRNA from 1 species